GGACCGCCUCAUCUUGCAAAAAGGCAAAAAAAAAAGAAAAUGUUUUUGUUUCUUUCCUUGUAUCGUGUGUCUGAAACAGGCUUCCCGGAAAAAUGGGUUUGUCCUGGAAACAGAAAUUCGAAGAAAAGAAAAUUCUUUCUUUGAUUUCAUUAUUACCCAGAAAAUAGAAAGUGCUGUAAUUAAAACUAUCAGAUCAGAGGUUUUUACUUUUACCCGACUAUGAUGAGGAUGAUGAUAAUGCAUCUGAGUGUUCUUCCCUUUUUGUUUAAAUUCCAUUUCUUCAUCUAGAAACUUCUUUUCUUCAUCGCCUUGUCUAUUCUGUAGUAAAAGAACGAAAUGUUGAGGUUGUGGAGAUGGUACCAGAAUUGCUUGGCAAUCCACCCGGUGAAGACACAGGUUAUAAGCUCAGGCUUGAUUUGGGGAUUUGGAGACAUAGCUGCUCAAACCAUUACUCAUUCAACUGCCAAGAAACACCGUCAUUUACAGUUUUGCAUCAGUCACCACUUGACGAAGGUCAUGACAUUCAGGAAGAGGAUAAAGAAUUAAAGAUCAAUUGGAAAAGAGUGGCUACAACAAGCUUGUUUGGGUUUGGAUUUGUUGGACCAGUUGGCCAUUACUGUGGCUGUAGGUAUGAAGGUUUGGACCGAUAUAUAAGGUUGCGACUUUGUCUACAACCAAAUUCUUUUCGUUUUGUGGCUACUAAAGUUGCAAUUGAUGGGUUCAUCUUUGGGCCAUUGGAUUUACUUGUGUUUUUUACUUACAUGGGAUUUUCUGCUGGAAAGAGUUUCCCUCAAGUCAAGGAAAAUGUAAAGAGAGAUUUUGUCCCAGCCUUAAUUCUUGAAGGGGGUGUAUGGCCAAUUGUACAAGUUGCAAAUUUUCGGUAUAUACCAGUGAGGUACCAACUACUAUAUGUAAACGUCUUCUGCCUGUUGGAUAGCUGUUUCUUGUCAUGGAUUGAGCAACAAGAGGAUGCUCCUUGGAAGCAAUGGCUGAAUUCUUUGCUACCUUCGAAGGAGAAAAGGGGUCAGGGUGGAUGAAUUAUCAAAAUUGAAUGCUCAUGCAUCCAAGGACCCGAUAUCAUAAUGCAAAUACAUAGUAGUUUGUUCUUUGGGAUUCGCUGCUUGAGCCAGAUGGGUUAAGGCCAUAUUCACUGGUGGUUUCACUGUUUCCGCUGAUGCCAUAGUUCUUAGUGCCAAUUGAUGAAUUACUUUUCUUCAUGUUCUCGUAUUGUCGGGCUUUUUGAAUCGGAGUUUCUGAAGACGUGUACAUUGAGCUGUUCCAGGACCUUCCUCCUACAUCAAGAUAAGAGAGCGAAAGAUCUCCUUCUAAAGCACGAACUACCUGCAUUGGUUUUGCAUCUGAGUUGAGACAAUCUGGGCGUUUACUCUGUUCUUAACUGCUGGUGCAAAUUUUAUUUUUAACUUUAAGUAAAUAAAUAAUCACCAUUUUCUACCAAUGAAAGCCCUGUGAACUCGGAAUCUCGUUAAUUGCAUGUAAG